rnacentral:rRNA from 1 species
ACAGUGGACGCGAGCAUCUUUGUUGUAAGUGUUUAAGAGCGUACGGUGGAUGCCUUGGCACCAGGAGCCGAUGAAGGACGUAGGAGGCUGCGAUAAGCCUCGGGGAGCUGUCAACCGAGCUGAGAUCCGAGGAUGUCCGAAUGGGGAAACCCAGCCACAGUGAUGUGUGGUUACCCGCGCCUGAAUAUAUAGGGCGUGUGGAGGGAACGUGGGGAAGUGAAACAUCUCAGUACCCACAGGAAGAGAAAACAACAUGUGAUUCCGUGAGUAGUGGCGAGCGAAAGCGGAAGAGGCUAAACCAUGGGUGUGUGAUAGCCGGCGGGCGUUGCAUUCGUGGGGUUGUGGGAUCCGUCUUGUCAAUUCUGCCGGAUUGGCCGACAGUGAGAAAUCAUCGUGUUAGUCGAAGUGGUCUGGAACGGCCUGUCGUAGAGGGUGAGAGUCCCGUAGACGAAAACAUGGUGACUGUCGUGACGGACACCCGAGUAGCAGCGGGCCCGUGAAAUCUGCUGUGAAUCUGUCGGGACCACCCGAUAAGCCUGAAUACUCCCUGGUGACCGAUAGCGGACUAGUACCGUGAGGGAAAGGUGAAAAGUACCCCGGGAGGGGAGUGAAAUAGUACCUGAAACCGUGCGCUUACAAUCCGUCAGAGCCUGCGCCACUUUUGGUGGGUGGGUGAUGGCGUGCCUUUUGAAGAAUGAGCCUGCGAGUUAGCGGCAUGUCGCGAGGUUAACCCGUGUGGGGUAGCCGUAGCGAAAGCGAGUCCGAAUAGGGCGUUUGUAGUGGCAUGUUCUAGACCCGAAGCGGAGUGAUCUACCCAUGGCCAGGGUGAAGCGACGGUAAGACGUCGUGGAGGCCCGAACCCACUUAGGUUGAAAACUGAGGGGAUGAGCUGUGGGUAGGGGUGAAAGGCCAAUCAAACUCCGUGAUAGCUGGUUCUCCCCGAAAUGCAUUUAGGUGCAGCGUCGCGUGUUUCACUCUGGAGGUAGAGCUACUGGAUGGCCGAUGGGCCCCACAAGGUUACUGACGUCAGCCAAACUCCGAAUGCCAGAGUGUGAGAGCGCGGCAGUGAGACUGCGGGGGAUAAGCUUCGUAGUCGAGAGGGAAACAGCCCAGAUCGCCGGCUAAGGCCCCUAAGCGUGUACUAAGUGGAAAAGGAUGUGGGGUCGCGAAGACAACCAGGAGGUUGGCUUAGAAGCAGCCACCCUUGAAAGAGUGCGUAAUAGCUCACUGGUCAAGUGAUCCUGCGCCGACAAUGUAGCGGGGCUCAAGUACACCGCCGAAGCCGCGGCAUUCACAUAACACCCAUGCGGGUCUACGGGCCUGUGUGCAGUGGUGUGGAUGGGUAGGGGAGCGUCGUGCAGCCAUGGAAGCGCCGGAGUGAUCCAGGUGUGGAGGCUGCACGAGUGAGAAUGCAGGCAUGAGUAGCGAAAGACGAGUGAGAAACUCGUCCGCCGAAUGACCAAGGGUUCCUGGGCCAGGUUAAUCCGCCCAGGGUGAGUCGGGACCUAAGGCGAGGCCGACAGGCGUAGUCGAUGGACAACGGGUUGAUAUUCCCGUACCCGUGUGAACGCGCCCCUGGUGAAUCAGUGAUGCUAAGCGCCCUGAAGCCGCCUUCGAACCUUCGGGUUCUCCGGUGUGUGGAUGCGCGUGAACCGAUCUGGUAGUAGCCAAGCGAUGGGGUGACGCAGGAAGGUAGCUGAGCCAGUCAGUGGUAAUACUGGUGUAAGCGUGUAGGGCGUGACCUAGGCAAAUCCGGGUCACACACAGCCUGAGACGUGAUGCGUAGCCGAUUGAGGCGAAUUCAGUGAUCCUAUGCUGCCGAGAAAAGCCUCUAGCGAGCUUUCACACGGCCCGUACCCCAAACCGACACAGGUGGUCAGGUAGAGAAUACUAAGGCGAUCGAGAUAACUGUGGUUAAGGAACUCGGCAAAAUGCCCCCGUAACUUCGGGAGAAGGGGGGCCUCGUCUGGUGACGGAACUUGCUUCCUGAGCUGGGUGGGGCCGCAGAGACCAGAGAGAAGCGACUGUUUACUAAAAACACAGGUCCGUGCGAAGUCGUAAGACGAUGUAUACGGACUGACGCCUGCCCGGUGCUGGAAGGUUAAGAGGACCGGUUAGCCAGUAAUGGCGAAGCUGAGAAUUUAAGCCCCAGUAAACGGCGGUGGUAACUAUAACCAUCCUAAGGUAGCGAAAUUCCUUGUCGGGUAAGUUCCGACCUGCACGAAUGGCGUAACGACUUCUCUGCUGUCUCAACCACAGACUCGGCGAAAUUGCAUUACGAGUAAAGAUGCUCGUUACGCGCGGCAGGACGAAAAGACCCCGGGACCUUCACUAUAGCUUGGUAUUGGUGUUCGGUUCGGUUUGUGUAGGAUAGGUGGGAGACUGUGAAGCGGGCACGCCAGUGUUCGUGGAGUCGUUGUUGAAAUACCACUCUGAUCGUAUUGGACAUCUAACCUCGGACCAUGAUCUGGUUCAGGGACAGUGCCUGGUGGGUAGUUUAACUGGGGCGGUUGCCUCCCAAAAUGUAACGGAGGCGCCCAAAGGUUCCCUCAGCCUGGUUGGCAAUCAGGUGUCGAGUGCAAGUGCACAAGGGAGCUUGACUGUGAGACUGACAGGUCGAGCAGGGACGAAAGUCGGGACUAGUGAUCCGGCACCGGCAAGUGGAAGCGGUGUCGCUCAACGGAUAAAAGGUACCCCGGGGAUAACAGGCUGAUCUUCCCCAAGAGUCCAUAUCGACGGGAUGGUUUGGCACCUCGAUGUCGGCUCGUCGCAUCCUGGGGCUGGAGUAGGUCCCAAGGGUUGGGCUGUUCGCCCAUUACGAGAGGACCGGGACGGACGCGUGCAGUUGUUCCGCAGGAGCA